GCUAGCGGCAGGCUUACACAUGCAAGUCGAGGGGUAUAGGAAGCUUGCUUCCUAGAGACCGGCGCACGGGUGCGUAACGCGUAUGCAAUCUGCCUUUCACAAAGGGAUAGCCCAGAGAAAUUUGGAUUAAUACCUUAUAGUAUUAAGUUUUGGCAUCAAGAUUUAAUUAAAGAUUUAUCGGUGAAAGAUGAGCAUGCGUCCCAUUAGUUAGUUGGUAAGGUAACAGCUUACCAAGACUACGAUGGGUAGGGGUCCUGAGAGGGAGAUCCCCCACACUGGUACUGAGACACGGACCAGACUCCUACGGGAGGCAGCAGUGAGGAAUAUUGGACAAUGGGCGCAAGCCUGAUCCAGCCAUGCCGCGUGCAGGAUGAAGCAUCUAUGGUGUGUAAACUGCUUUUAUACAGGAAGAAACCCUGGCUCGUGAGCCAGAUUGACGGUACUGUAAGAAUAAGGACCGGCUAACUCCGUGCCAGCAGCCGCGGUAAUACGGAGGGUCCAAGCGUUAUCCGGAAUCAUUGGGUUUAAAGGGUCCGUAGGCGGGCUUGUAAGUCAGCGGUGAAAUCUCCCGGCUCAACCGGGAAAUGGCCGUUGAUACUGCUAGUCUUGAAUUAGUAGGAAGUAACUAGAAUAUGUAGUGUAGCGGUGAAAUGCUUAGAGAUUAC
rnacentral:rRNA from 1 species